CGGUAGUGGGCAACCUGCCCUGUACUGUGGAAUAAUCAUUGGAAACGGAUGACUAAUACCGCAUGUGGUCCUCGGAAGGCAUCUUCUGAGGAAGAAAGGAUUUAUUCGGUACAGGAUGGGCCCGCAUCUGAUUAGCUAGUUGGUGAGAUAACAGCCCACCAAGGCGACGAUCAGUAGCCGACCUGAGAGGGUGAUCGGCCACAUUGGGACUGAGACACGGCCCAA
rnacentral:rRNA from 1 species